UGGGGAAUAUUGCGCAAUGGGCGAAAGCCUGACGCAGCGACGCCGCGUGAGGGAUGAAGGUCUUCGGAUCGUAAACCUCUGUCAGGAGGGAAGAAGUGGUUAUAUGCGAAUAGUGUAUGACUUUGACGGUACCUCCAAAGGAAGCACCGGCUAACUCCGUGCCAGCAGCCGCGGUAAUACGGAGGGUGCGAGCGUUAAUCGGAAUCACUGGGCGUAAAGCGCGCGUAGGCGGCUUUUCAAGUCAGGGGUGAAAUCCCACGGCCCAACCGUGGAACUGCCUUUGAAACUGUAGAGCUUGAGUGU
rnacentral:rRNA from 1 species